AGAGUUUGAUCAUGGCUCAGAACGAACGCUGGCGGCGCGUUUUAAGCAUGCAAGUCGAAGGCUGAACUUUUCAGCAAUGAGGAGUUCGGACUGGCGAACGGGUGAGUAACACGUGAGAAUCUACCCAUAGAUGGGGGAUAGCUUGUGGAAACACAAGAUAAUACCGCAUGUGCCCCCUGUACUCAAUUAUUUCUUUCGUUAAGUUAAUUGAAAGAAAUAAUUGAGUACAGGGGAUAAAAGCAGCAAUUGUUGCGUCUGUGGAAGAGCUUGCGGUCCAUUAGCUAGUUGGUAGGGUAAAGGCCUACCAAGGCGACGAUGGAUAGCCGGCCUGAGAGGGUGUACGGUCACAUUGGGACUGAGACACGGCCCAGACUCCUACGGGAGGCAGCAGCUAAGAAUAUUCCGCAAUGGGAGCAAUCCUGACGGAGCGACGCCGCGUGGAAGAUGAAGGCAGAAAUGUUGUAAAUUCCUUUUAUACGGGAAGAAUACAGAUAGGAGUGGAAUGCUUAUCUGAUGACGGUACCGUAUGAAUAAGCCUCGGCUAACUACGUGCCAGCAGCCGCGGUAAUACGUAGGAGGCAAGCGUUGUUCGGAUUUACUGGGCGUAAAGGGCAUGUAGGCGGUUAUGCAAGUGUGGAUUUAAAGGCAGAAGCUCAACUUCUAGCAUGGUCUGCAAACUGCAUAGCUUGAGUGUAGGAGGGGGAACUGGAAUUCCGCGUGUAGGGGUGAAAUCUGUAGAGAUGCGGAAGAAUACCUGUGGCGAAGGCGAGUUCCUGGUCUAUAACUGACGCUGAAAUGCGAAAGUGUGGGUAGCGAACAGGAUUAGAUACCCUAGUAGUCC
rnacentral:rRNA from 1 species